AACUAACGCUGGCGGCGUGCCUAACACAUGCAAGUCGAACGAGAAAGUUGGCUUCGGCCGAUGAGUAAAGUGGCGCACGGGUGAGUAACGCGUGGAUAAUCUGCCCUUUAGUUUGGAAUAACGUACCGAAAGGUGCGCUAAUACCGGAUAAUACUGAAUGACUACUGUCGUUUAGUCAAAGAAGGCUUCUGUUUACAUGCUUUUGCUGAAGGAUGAGUCCGCGUACCAUUAGCUAGUUGGUAGGGUAAUGGCCUACCAAGGCGACGAUGGUUAGCUGGUCUGAGAGGAUGAUCAGCCACACUGGAACUGAGACACGGUCCAGACUCCUACGGGAGGCAGCAGUGAGGAAUAUUGCGCAAUGGGGGCAACCCUGACGCAGCAACGCCGCGUGAGUGAGGAAGGUUUUCGGACCGUAAAGCUCUGUCGAGCGGGAAGAAAUGCAUGGUGGCUAAUAUCCAUCAUGCUUGACGGUACCGCUAAAGGAAGCACCGG
rnacentral:rRNA from 1 species